GUACACACCGCCCGUCGCUUUUACCGAUUGAGUGUUCAGGUGAGUCUUCUUGAUAGUGUCAAAGCUAAAAAUUAAACAAACCUUAGCACUUAGAGGAAAAAGAAGUCGUAACAAGGUUUCUGUAGGUGAACCUGCAGAAGGAUCA
rnacentral:rRNA from 1 species